rnacentral:rRNA from 1 species
CGGAGGGUGCAAGCGUUAUCCGGAUUUAUUGGGUUUAAAGGGUCCGUAGGCGGGUUCGUAAGUCAGUGGUGAAAUCCUACAGCUUAACUGUAGAACUGCCAUUGAUACUGCGAGUCUUGAGUGUAGUUGAGGUAGCUGGAAUGAGUAGUGUAGCGGUGAAAUGCAUAGAUAUUACUCAGAACACCAAUUGCGAAGGCAGGUUACCAAGUUACAACUGACGCUGAUGGACGAAAGCGUAGGGAGCGAACAGGAUU